GCGGGUAUAGUAUAAUAGUUAUUAUGCGGCCUUGCCAAGGCCGAGAAACGGGUGCGAUUCCCGUUACCCGCU
rnacentral:tRNA from 1 species